GUGUCAGCCGCCGCGGUAAUACGGAGGGGGCAAGCGUUAUUCGGAUUUACUGGGCGUAAAGCGCACGUAGGCGGCAUUGCAAGUCGUAGGUGAAAGCCCUCGGCUCAACCGAGGAAUUGCCUUCGAAACUGCGCUGCUUGAGUCCGGGAGGGGGGAGCGGAAUUCCCAGUGUAGCGGUGAAAUGCGUAGAUACUGGGAGGAACACCGGUGGCGAAGGCGGCUCCCUGGACCGGUACUGACGCUGAGGUGCGAAAGCGUGGGUAGCAAACAGGAUUAGAUACCCGUGUAGUCC
rnacentral:rRNA from 1 species